rnacentral:rRNA from 1 species
UACGUAGGGUGCAAGCGUUAAUCGGAAUUACUGGGCGUAAAGCGUGCGCAGGCGGUUAUGCAAGACAGAUGUGAAAUCCCCGGGCUUAACCUGGGAAUGGCAUUUGGGACUGCAAGGCUGGAGUUUGGCAGAGGAGACUGGAAUUCCCGGUGUAGCAGUGAAAUGCGUAGAUAUCGGGAGGAAUACCGAUGGCGAAGGCAGGUCUCUGGGCUAUAACUGACGCUCAUGCACGAAAGCGUGGGGAGCAAACAGG